rnacentral:rRNA from 1 species
UCGUGGGGGAUAACGUAGGGAAACUUACGCUAAUACCGCAUGCGCCCUUCGGGGGAAAGCCCGGGGACCUUCGGGCCUGGCGCGAUUGGAUGAGCCACGUCGGAUUAGCUAGUUGGCGGGGUAAAGGCCCACCAAGGCGACGAUCCGUAGCUGGGUCUGAGAGGAUGAUCAGCCACACUGGAACUGAGACACGGUCCAGACUCCUACGGGAGGCAGCAGUAGGGAAUAUUGGACAAUGGGCGCAAGCCUGAUCCAGCCAUGCCGCGUGAGUGAAGAAGGCCCUCGGGUUGUAAAGCUCUUUUGUCCGGAAAGAAAAGCGCCGGGUUAAUACCCUGGUGUCCUGACGGUACCGGAAGAAUAAGCACCGGCCAACUUCGUG